UACGUAGGGUGCGAGCGUUGUCCGGAAUUACUGGGCGUAAAGAGCUCGUAGGUGGUUUGUCGCGUUGUCCGUGAAAACUCACAACUCAAUUGUGGGCGUGCGGGCGAUACGGGCAGACUGGAGUACUGCAGGGGAGACUGGAAUUCCUGGUGUAGCGGUGGAAUGCGCAGAUAUCAGGAGGAACACCCGUGGCGGAAGCGGCCACCUAGCCCGCACCUGACGCUGAGGCGCGACAGCGUGGGGAGCGAACGGG
rnacentral:rRNA from 1 species